CUGCUUCUACUUUCUAUAUGGAGCUGGGAGCGUCUGCCUGUUGGACGCCCGAAGAACGUCAGGUUUGAUCCUUGGUAUGCAGAUGAACAUGACGAAUUACGGCGCCCCACGUGGUCUUACAAGUGGGAUAUCGUUUUCGAGAUGACGAACGAUGUCAAUCUCAUGUACCAAAAGUACAUUGCCGAGUUGGACACGAUUAUGGCUGAGCAGGUAAGGAGGUCAUUACUUUAG
rnacentral:rRNA from 1 species